ACGUGAUAACUCGUGUAUUUAUUUUUCCUUUUUAAUUUAUUUUGAUUUUUUGUUGAUUGUGUUUUCUUGGAAAAGGUUUCUAUUUUCCAACGUACUAGAAGAUAUUCUGACGAUCGAAAUUCGAUUAAAAAAAGUAAGGUGUUAUUAAUGAUUUCAUUUAAACAUGUAAGGUGUCAAUGGGAUUUUGCGUGUGCUGGAAUGUAUUGUUUUUUCCAAUCUCAAAUUUAAGUAAUAUUUUAAAGAGAUUUCACAUUUCUUAGUC
rnacentral:lncRNA from 1 species